AACCUCCCUGGAUCAUGUUUGGAGAGUGGCUAAUAUUCUGCCAGCUUCGGAGACAGGAGGGAAAGCAAGUCUGGCAGAGGUACACGUUACAUUCCUUGCUUGCUUAGUAGCUGGUACUGGAAGACAUUCUGCAACAAUG